rnacentral:tRNA from 1 species
UCCGCGUUGGGGCAGUGGUAGCCCGCCGGGUUGUCUCCCCGGAAACACGGGUUCGAACCCCGUACGUGGAG